UACGUAGGGGGCAAGCGUUGUCCGGAAUCAUUGGGCGUAAAGAGCGUGUAGGCGGCUCGAUAAGUCUGCUGUGAAAGUCCAGGGCUCAACCCUGAAGGCCGGUGGAAACUGUCGGGCUAGAGUCCGGAAGAGGCGAGUGGAAUUCCCGGUGUAGCGGUGAAAUGCGCAGAUAUCGGGAGGAACACCAAUGGCGAAGGCGGCUCGCUGGGCCACACCUGACGCUGAGACGCGAAAGCUAGGGGAGCGAACAGG
rnacentral:rRNA from 1 species